rnacentral:tRNA from 1 species
AGAAGUAGAUUGAAGCCAGUUGAUUAGGGUAUUUAGCUGUUAACUAAAAAUUCGUGGGAGAUGUAUCCCUCCAAUCUAGUGAGGAUUUAGCUUAAUUAAAGUGUUUGAUUUGCAUUCAAUUGAUGUAAGAUAUAGUCUUGCAAUCCUUA